rnacentral:rRNA from 1 species
UAAGCGGAGGAAAAGAAACUAACAAGGAUUCCCCUAGUAACUGCGAGUGAAGCGGGAAAAGCUCAAAUUUAAAAUCUGGCGGUCUUUGGCUGUCCGAGUUGUAAUCUAGAGAAGUGUUAUCCGCGCUGGACCGUGUACAAGUCUCCUGGAAUGGAGCGUCAUAGAGGGUGAGAAUCCCGUCUUUGACACGGACUGCCAGGGCUUUGUGAUGCGCUCUCAAAGAGUCGAGUUGUUUGGGAAUGCAGCUCAAAAUGGGUGGUAAAUUCCAUCUAAAGCUAAAUAUUGGCGAGAGACCGAUAGCGAACAAGUACCGUGAGGGAAAGAUGAAAAGAACUUUGGAAAGAGAGUUAAACAGUACGUGAAAUUGCUGAAAGGGAAACGCUUGAAGUCAGUCGCGUUGGCCGGGGAUCAACCUUGCUUUUGCUGGGCGUACUUUCCGGUCGACGGGUCAGCAUCAAUUUUGACCGUUGGAUAAAGGCUGAGGGAAUGUGGCUCCUUCGGGAGUGUUAUAGCCCUUGGUCGCAUACAACGAUUGGGAUUGAGGAACUCAGCACGCCGCAAGGCCGGGUACUUGUACCACGUUCGUGCUUAGGAUGCUGGCAUAAUGGCUUUAAUCGACCCGUCUUGA